AAAAAAAAAAGAAAAUGAAAUUUUAAUAUUAGGUUCUCUUAAAAAUCAUGGCAUAUAGUUAAUUCCAUCCUGAUUCAGUUGUGUGAAGGUUGAAAACGAUUGCUGAUUAGUUGCUGUAAUUCUGAUGAUCUUCCAUCAAAAUGUUGACAAUUGUCAAUUUUCUUAGAGUGAAAUCUGGAACUCUUGUGUGCUCUGUGUACCCCAGGGGUAAGGAUUAAAAGAUAGGAAAAGUACCUGUAUGAUAGUAGCCAUCAACAGCUCUUUUCCUCACUACCUAGGGAAACAAUAUACUCGUGUUUUUGCAUUAUACUGAUAACUGCACCAGAGAGGAAAGUAGUGAUUUUUGAAUGACAACCAACCAAUACCUUGUUGGGCAUCACGUGGUCUAUGAUAAGAGCACACAUCUGCUUGGUACAAUGUACUUGAAAGGUUUUUUUUUUCAAUACCACUAUGGUAUUACUGCAGAUAUGGACGCAUCAAACAGCUUAAAUCUUAAACCCUAAGUGUGAACACACUAGCUAGUAAUUGGCGAUUGUGAUAAUAGAUUUAUGCUUGUCACUUGCAACUGACCCUUGAAAUACCCUUUAAUAGUACAUGAAAGCUAGAAAAGGGUUUGGGUUGCUAUUCAACAAGAAGCAAGGUAGUUCAUUUUCUUGUCCCCUUCCAGUAGCAAAGCAGUACUCACAUUUGCCACAGCUUAGGAAAUUCCCUGGGUUUCAGCCAACUUGCUCCCUAGAGUAAUGAGGCAAAAUGUUGCUCUGUUCUAGGAAUGCUGCUGUUUCACGAUCCACUGUAGCAAGAAAUACAUGCCACACAACACAGAAUGACACAGGAAUAACUUGAUAGCCACACUUCUGGGAGGUUUCAGACCUAAAUAGAUGCUGUCUGCCAGAAGGAAAUGGACUCACUGGAGCCUUUAGGCCUGUCCAUGGUUUGGCCCUUUGGUAGCUGAGUUUACUGGGCAUCCACUGACGAGAGAACGUAAUAAAGACCUGGAAUAAUAGAAGGAUAAGCCUAAGCUAUGUCCACAUUUUGGAAAAGAAUUUUUUAACAAAGUUUAGCCAAAGGAUGAGAAAUCAAGCUGUGUGUGUGCGCGCGCUCACUGAAGUCCAGGCAUUAGGAGACAGGUUAUUUGGAGAGGUGGACUGGAUCCUGCACUGUGGCCUUAAACAUGGUAAAGUUCACCAGUGCUUCAUUUCUUUGCUGGGCACAGUAUUUUAGGGUAAAAAAAAUUCCAAAUGAGUUUAUGAGCAUAAUUGUAUUUAUAGGCUUUAAGAGGAAUUAGGCUUAGUUCCCUAGAAUUACACAGAACCUCACAUUAGAAGCUUUACCAUAUUUUUGUUUAUUGAAUAUCAGAGGUCAUUUUAUAAAGUGUUCUGAAUAUAUAGGUAUGAGAAUGAAGUCCUAAACCAAAAUAAGUAGCCUGUUAGGUGUGAGUGUUCCAAAAGAUAGAAGAAAACAAGAUGCUUAGUUACUACACCCGAGUUGCUUAUAUGGUGAUCAGGAAUGUUCAGACAGUAAGGAUUUGGGGGCUCCCCAGGGCAGAUAUUGCACCUCCACCAUUCAGAUGUAUACCCCACCUGCCCCCCCAUUCCUGCACUUGCAAUUCAGGGAGCCUGGGCCUUGCUUUCCCACCUGGGGCUUGGGUUUACUGAACAGGCUAGGCAUUCCAGCUCAGAAGCAGCAAAACCAACUGAACAGCCUCCUUUCAUAAGACUGACAGGAGCUGUUAGUACUUUGGAGGUCAGCAACAGAAUAGUUCAUGACACCAGGGUGGGGUCAUACCGUUAGAGGUGAAGACUCGAUGGGCCGUUGCUGUCCAACCUGUGCAUUUUUACAGAGCAGUGGACAUAGAACCACCGACAGGCAGAGGGUUGCUCCAGGACAAACUGUGUAUUGAAACAAUGUAGCAGAGCCGGGCUCAUAGCAGGUGCAAAAAAUGUGACCCUUUCCCUCCCUUUUAAAUCUUCCUCCUUACCCUGCUUCUUUACCUCCUUCUCCUGCUGUGGCUACUCUGCUGUGAAGACAGCCAGCGAUGGGAGUCUCCAGAGAGCUGGCACUGCUUAUGUGUCUUAGAACUGCAGCAUGGUCUUCCCAAAGAUCACAGAAGGAAGGGUGAUAGUACACGACACAUGACAAUGACUUCUGAAAGAUGAAUGAAAUUUACAUUCGUUGAUACAAAACAAGAAAACAAAACUGUACAUUUCCAGCAGUGAGAAAUACGUCCUAGUUUAUUUACAUACAUAUAUAUACAUAUAUGUGCAUAUAUACAUAUGUAUAUGUUUUUAUAAUUGAGAUUAGAAUUACAUAUUGUGAAAUUAUAUUUUUUUUCUCUUUUGCAGUGCUAGGGAUUGAAUCCAAAGUCUUGUGCAUGUUAGGCCAGGACUCUACCAGUGAACUACAUCCUCAGCCCCUAACCAUUUUAUGGUGAGCAAUUCAGUGGCAUUUACUACAUUCAUAAUGUUCUGAAACCACCACCUCUGGUUCCAAAAUAUUUGUAUCAUUUCAAAAGAAAACCCUGUACCCAGUCCUUGAUCUAGUCUGGAAAUUUCAUAUAAACAGAAUCAUACAAUAAGUGAUUUUUAUAUCUAUCUUCUUUUCGUUGUUCAACCAUAUUGUAGCGGUACUACUUUCCAUUUUAAGGCUGAAUAAUAUUCCAUUUUAUGUAUGUAGCAUAAUUCCUUUAUCCAUUCUUCCAUUGAUAAACACAAAUUAUUUCCACCUUUUGGCUGUUGUGAAUAGUGCUGUUAUGAACAUGCAUAGACGUGUAUUUGCUUGAGUCUCUGCUUGCAGUUCUUUGGGUAUAAUAUUUAAGAGUGACCUCCUGGAUCAUAUGGUAAUUCUUAUGGCUUGUGUCUAGAUGUUCCCCUCAAAGCCCCAUGCAGUCGUAGGUGGGGCUUUUUCUGAGGUGGAUAAAUCUAUAGCAUAUGAUACUGGGAUUAAGGGUGUGUGAUUACUAAACCACAUGAGUGAUUGAUUUGGCACCGCCCAAAUCCCAAUAAACUGGAUGGGGUAAAGGGGGCAGAAAGACCCUGUUAAAGUCUCUUGCUUUUUCUGUCUUCUGCUGCCAUGAACUGUUGCCCCUCUGCCACUCUGCCUUGGAGCCAGUAAAUUAUGGACUGAAACCUCUACGAACUUCAGUCUUUUCCAUUUCUUCUCAAUGUUGGGGAGAAAACCCAGGACCUCAGGUAUGCUGGGCAAGUAUUCUGCUGCUGACCUGCAUGCAGCCCUAACAGUGCACUCUGAACACAGGACCCAAUUUUAGCUCAGAACAAAAUAAAACCCAUCUGUCAGCACUUCAGAGAGUUAAGGGGAAAAGGAGGAAGAUUGUUGAAGAAAA
rnacentral:lncRNA from 1 species